UAAGAGUGCAAUUGAUCUUUUUAUUAACCCGUUUCCCCAGGUGGGUGGCAGCCUGCUCCUCCCUCCUGGGUUCAGUUACAUUGUUCAGUUCCAGGAAUCAUUUUAGACUCUUUUGGUUUUUUGUCUGAGCUGAUACUUAAAACAUAGGAGCACAAACGCUGAUAUUCCGUGUCCUCUAAAUCCUAUCCUCUCUGGACCUCCAAACUGGUCGCAGACCACUUACUCUAGACCUCACGACUAGUUCUGAAGAGUAUGGAGCCUACAUAGAUUCAUAAGGAAUGAACCAUUUGCCAUCUAAGGAAAAAAUGAGAUCCUUCUCAUAUUAAUAAUCCAACACUUCACUCAUGCAAAGAAAACCAAAAUUACAUAUUGCUCUUGAAACUCUAAGUUGCACUGUGUUGUGAAAGUAAACUUAGGAAAUAAAACUGCCAAUUUCCAGUGAUACAUCUUUCAUCCUUUUUCCAAUCUAAAUAUUUUAUCUUUGCCUAAUAUGUUGAAAACUCUCGUGACCUUGCAUAUGUGGUUUGAAUUAGUAAAGAAGAAGGAAAGCAAAAGUGGAAAAUUGAAGAGCCGUUGAGAAAAAUAAACCCAAUUCUUCAUGUGAACAAUUGUCUCACGCUGAUGUCUUGAAACCAGAAAGCUUUCUGCUAUUUAUUUACCAGAGAUGAGUACAGAUCAUUUCAUUGUGCAUCGAUUUUCUCUAAGGAGGGAGGAAGUGUGGUCAGCUAAACAAGACACUGAAAUGGGGAAUCAGCAGCCACAACUCCUAUUGUCAUCUCCAGCUGCAGAAUUUGCUCAGACUCUUAGAAACUCACUUGAUUGCUAUGAUCCUGGUUUUUUGGUUUGUUUCUUUUUUUGUUUCCUUUGGUUGUUUUGUUUUUUUAAUCAACAAGAUCGAACUUAUAGAUUAAAUUCUUUGAGUUCUUUUGUUGGGUUAUUUUAAUUGGUCUGGUCUAUACACAAUAUAUUGAUAAAAUGAGAGCCAAUACAAUUGGACACCAUUCAGGAAUAGAAUCAUUCCACAUUCAUGUAGCCAAAUGUUUACUGGGAGCCUACUGUCUACUGGGCACUGAGCUGGGCAUUGCAUAGUGUAUUUGCUCCUUACAUCACGAGACAAUUAUGAAACUGACAUUAUGUGCAAAUAUAAACUUCCCAGAAGAUCAAUACUAUAUGAAUUAAGAAUAAUUAUCCAAAAAAAGAUCACUACACUUUAAAUACAAAGAACUCCUUUAUUUUUGAAAAACACUUGUUAAACACAUAAAAAAUUUCAAAUUCCUUAACCUGUUUUUAUUCUGUUUUCAAAUUACUGUUUUUAAAUUUGUGAAAUAUGUCCAUUGUACACAUUUGGAAACUUGGUAUACUUAUUUGUGUAUUUACAUAUGUAUAUGCUUAUGCUGGAAACACAUAUAUCUGUGCCUUUCAAAUUAUAAAUUAGAACUCACAGUAACACUGUUUCAAAUUAAAAUUAUUUCACCCUCAUUAGGAGGGAACCUGCUAUUUUUUUCUAUUAUCAAGUUUUUUUAUGCCAGUUCUGUCUUCUUGGUUACAGUGAAAGAUUAAAAAUAAAUAGAUAAAUAAAAUGUCCUUUUCAAAUUGUUAGUUUUAUAUUCAUGCUGUUUUUUUCGUUUAUCAUUGAAAAUGUUUUUAGGAUUGGAUGUUUAACAAGAAAUUCUGUGACUUGUGCUAGAUUUUAUUUAUAUUUUGCUCUUUACACCUAUAUUAGAUAUGAAUCUAGUUAAGCUAUUAUAACAGAGAAACUCCAAAACACAGAAGCUCAUACGAGAUAAAAGUUUAUUCUGUCUCACAUAACAGUUUAGACUGGCAGGACUGUUGGUGUAUGGCAGCUGUACAGUGUCAGGGGCCCAGGCUCCCUCUGUCUAAUUGCUCUGCUAUCCUCAACUCUGUCUUUCAUCUCCUGACCCAAUGUGGCUGCUGCAGCUCCAGCCAUUAUGUUUGCCUGCAGCCAGCAGGAAAAGAGAAAGGGGUAAAGGAAUGCAUACUCCUUUCUUUUGAAAGCAUAAACUGAGAUUUUCACAUAUAACUUCUGAAAUGAUCCAUGGCAGAUGUUCAGGCACACCCACACUGGAAGACAUGAUGAGGUCAUGCGAUGCCUGCACAUAUACACAGGUUCUCUGAACAUAACAGCGAACAGCAAAAGUGCAACCUCAGACCAGGACACUGUGUUAUGCUGAGGCAGCAGUAUCGUGGGUGAUUUUCUGAAAUGGUAUACAACUCAGGGA
rnacentral:lncRNA from 1 species